rnacentral:rRNA from 1 species
UACAGAGGUCUCGAGCGUUAGGCGGAAUCACUGGGCUUAAAGCGUGUGUAGGUGGAUCGUUAAGUACCUUGUGAAAUCCCACGGCUUAACCGUGGAACUGCUUGGUAUACUGGCGGUCUUGAGCCAGCUAGGGGCUACCGGAACAAAUGGUGGAGCGGUGAAAUGCGUAGAUAUCAAGAGGAACACCUGCGGCGAAGGCGGGUUGCUGGGCCGACACUGACGCUGAGGCGCGAAAGCCAGGGGAGCGAACGGG